rnacentral:pre_miRNA from 1 species
UGCUGUUCUGUUUAUGUUGACAGGUUUGCUGUUCUGUUUCAAACCUGUCAACAUAAACAGAACAGCAAACCUGUCAACAUAAACAGAGCAGCAAACC